GAUGAAGAACGCAGCGAAAUGCGAUAAGUAAUGUGAAUUGCAGAAUUCAGUGAAUCAUCGAAUCUUUGAACGCACAUUGCGCCCGCCAGUAUUCUGGCGGGCAUGCCUGUCUGAGCGUCAUUUCAACCCUCAUGCCCCUAGGGCGUGGUGUUGGGGAUCGGCCAAAGCCCGCAAGGGACGGCCGGCCCCUAAAUCUAGUGGCGGACCCGUCGUGGCCUCCCCUGCGAAGUAGUGAUAUUCCGCAUAGGAGAAGCGACGAGCCCCUGCCGUUAAACCCCCAACUUUCUCAGGUUGACCUCAGAUCAGGGAGGAAUACCCGCUGAACUUAAGCAUAUCAAUAAGCGGAGGA
rnacentral:misc_RNA from 1 species